GGCUGUAGAACCAAAUACUGUUUUGCUGUCUGAAGAGAUCUCAGCAAAGGGACAGGAGUUAAAGAGGAACGAUUACAUUGUAAAAAGUCAUAAAACCUUCCAGGAUUAAAAAUCUCAGGAGGUUACACUGUGGCUAUGAGGUGAUUUUUGUAAAGCUUCAAUAUGGAGCCACACACACAAGAAUGCCAGAAUGUGGACCCUCACCUUGUUGGCAGUGGUUUUCCCAAGUACACUGGCUCCUGGUUAAUCCAGAGGUUUUAAAGCAGAGCUUCAAGCCACAAUUAUGUGCAGCGCUGCCUUGUGUAGUGAGGGCGUGUGUAGUGUUGUGGGAUCGAGUCUCUGCUUCGCCUGGAUUCAAACUAGUUUGGCCUGAAAUGAUUCAGAUGAAG